UACGGAGGGUGCAAGCGUUGCUCGGAAUUAUUGGGCGUAAAGGGUGCGUAGGCGGCCCGUUAAGUCAGUGGUGAAAGCCUCCAGCUCAACUGGAGAACUGCCAUUGAUACUGGCGGGCUUGAGUACAGACGAGGUUGGCGGAAUUGAUAGUGUAGCGGUGAAAUGCAUAGAUACUAUCAAGAACUCCGAUUGCGUAGGCAGCUAACUAGGCUGUAACUGACGCUGAGGCACGAAAGCGUGGGGAGCGAACAGG
rnacentral:rRNA from 1 species